CCUCGUGAUCCUCGCUUUGUUUCAUUGGGUGGAAGACUUGACCUUGACGGGUUCAAGAAGCGAUACAAUUUCUUUUUCGAGGAUAAACUUCCUGUAGAAAGAGAGGAAUUGAAAAAGCAGCUAAAGAAAACAAAGAAUCCAGAAGAGGCCAACAAAUUGAAGAACGAGUUAACUUAUGUUGUGAG